GCAAACUUGGUCAUUUAGAGGAAGUAAAAGUCGUAACAAGGUCUCCGUAGGUGAACCUGCGGAGGGAUCAUUUGAAAAUUGGGAAUUCCGAGCCGACUGAUAGUUGGGGGUUUGUUGGGGGUUUCCUCCAUGGCACCCGGCCGCCAGCGGUCUCGGAAUUACUCUCUUCAGCCUGUGGAAACGAGCUGUGCUUCGGCGUCCCUUUGUGGCGCCGCCUUCAUGCCGUCUGGCUUGUCUUGUCUGUUAUGAAACGAAAAAUCAAAACUUUCAACAAAGGAUCUCUUGGCUCUCGCAUCGAUGAAGAACGCAGC
rnacentral:misc_RNA from 1 species